AAUGCGGCGUGCCUAAUACAUGCAAGUCGAACGAGUUCUCGUUGAUGAUCGGUGCUUGCACCGAGAUUCAACAUGGAACGAGUGGCGGACGGGUGAGUAACACGUGGGUAACCUGCCCUUAAGUGGGGGAUAACAUUUGGAAACAGAUGCUAAUACCGCAUAGAUCCAAGAACCGCAUGGUUCUUGGCUGAAAGAUGGCGUAAGCUAUCGCUUUUGGAUGGACCCGCGGCGUAUUAGCUAGUUGGUGAGGUAAUGGCUCACCAAGGCGAUGAUACGUAGCCGAACUGAGAGGUUGAUCGGCCACAUUGGGACUGAGACACGGCCCAAACUCCUACGGGAGGCAGCAGUAGGGAAUCUUCCACAAUGGACGCAAGUCUGAUGGAGCAACGCCGCGUGAGUGAAGAAGGCUUUCGGGUCGUAAAACUCUGUUGUUGGAGAAGAAUGGUCGGCAGAGUAACUGUUGUCGGCGUGACGGUAUCCAACCAGAAAGCCACGGCUAACUACGUGCCAGCAGCCGCGGUAAUACGUAGGUGGCAAGCGUUAUCCGGAUUUAUUGGGCGUAAAGCGAGCGCAGGCGGUUUUUUAAGUCUGAUGUGAAAGCCCUCGGCUUAACCGAGGAAGCGCAUCGGAAACUGGGAAACUUGAGUGCAGAAGAGGACAGUGGAACUCCAUGUGUAGCGGUGAAAUGCGUAGAUAUAUGGAAGAACACCAGUGGCGAAGGCGGCUGUCUGGUCUGUAACUGACGCUGAGGCUCGAAAGCAUGGGUAGCGAACAGGAUUAGAUACCCUGGUAGUCCAUGCCGUAAACGAUGAAUGCUAGGUGUUGGAGGGUUUCCGCCCUUCAGUGCCGCAGCUAACGCAUUAAGCAUUCCGCCUGGGGAGUACGACCGCAAGGUUGAAACUCAAAGGAAUUGACGGGGGCCCGCACAAGCGGUGGAGCAUGUGGUUUAAUUCGAAGCAACGCGAAGAACCUUACCAGGUCUUGACAUCUUUUGAUCACCUGAGAGAUCAGGUUUCCCCUUCGGGGGCAAAAUGACAGGUGGUGCAUGGUUGUCGUCAGCUCGUGUCGUGAGAUGUUGGGUUAAGUCCCGCAACGAGCGCAACCCUUAUGACUAGUUGCCAGCAUUUAGUUGGGCACUCUAGUAAGACUGCCGGUGACAAACCGGAGGAAGGUGGGGAUGACGUCAAAUCAUCAUGCCCCUUAUGACCUGGGCUACACACGUGCUACAAUGGAUGGUACAACGAGUUGCGAGACCGCGAGGUCAAGCUAAUCUCUUAAAGCCAUUCUCAGUUCGGACUGUAGGCUGCAACUCGCCUACACGAAGUCGGAAUCGCUAGUAAUCGCGGAUCAGCACGCCGCGGUGAAUACGUUCCCGGGCCUUGUACACACCGCCCGUCACACCAUGAGAGUUUGUAACACCCGAAGCCGGUGGCGUAACCCUUUUAGGGAGCGAGCCGUCUAAGGUGGGACAAAUGAUUAGGGUGAAGUCGUAACAAGUGAAAGUC
rnacentral:rRNA from 1 species